rnacentral:rRNA from 1 species
AUGAAGGGGGCCAAAUCCAAGGGCGCCGCCAAGGCCGACACCAAGUUGGCGGUGAAGAGCAAGGGGGCGGAGAAGCCGGCGGCCAAGGGGAAGAAGGGCAAGGCCGGCAAGGACCCCAACAAGCCCAAGAGGGCGCCCUCCGCCUUCUUCGUCUUCAUGGGCGAGUUCCGCGAGGAGUUCAAGCAGAAGAACCCCAAGAACAAGUCCGUCGCCGCCGUCGGCAAAGCGGCCGGUGAGAGGUGGAAGAGCUUGAGCGAAUCGGAGAAGGCCCCCUACGUGGCCAAGGCCAACAAGCUCAAGGGCGAGUACAACAAGGCCAUCGCCGCCUACAACAAGGGCGAGAGUGCUGCUGCUGCCGCCCCAAAGAAGGCGGCCGCCAAGGAGGUGGAGGAGGAAGAUGAGGAGGAAUCCGACAAGUCCAAGUCGGAGAUCAAUGACGACGAUGACGAUGAGGGUAGCGAUGAGGACGAGGACGACGACGAGUGA